CGGCGAGUGAAGCGGCAACAGCUCAAAUUUGAAAUCUGGCGUCUUCGGCGUCCGAGUUGUAAUUUGCAGAGGGCGCUUUGGCAUUGGCAGCGGUCCAAGUUCCUUGGAACAGGACGUCACAGAGGGUGAGAAUCCCGUACGUGGUCGCUAGCCUUUACCGUGUAAAGCCCCUUCGACGAGUCGAGUUGUUUGGGAAUGCAGCUCUAAAUGGGAGGUAAAUUUCUUCUAAAGCUAAAUACUGGCCAGAGACCGAUAGCGCACAAGUAGAGUGAUCGAAAGAUGAAAAGCACUUUGGAAAGAGAGUUAAAAAGCACGUGAAAUUGUUGAAAGGGAAGCGCUUGCAGCCAGACUUGCCUGUAGUUGCUCAUCCGGGUUUUUACCCGGUGCACUCUUCUAUAGGCAGGCCAGCAUCAGUUUGGGCGGUUGGAUAAAGGUCUCUGUCAUGUACCUCUCUUCGGGGAGAACUUAUAGGGGAGACGACAUGCAACCAGCCUGGACUGAGGUCCGCGCAUCUGCUAGGAUGCUGGCGUAAUGGCUGUAAGCGGCCCGUCUUGAAACACGGACCAAGGAGUCUAACAUCUAUG
rnacentral:rRNA from 1 species